CUUUGCUGACGAGUGGCGGACGGGUGAGUAAUGUCUGGGAAACUGCCUGAUGGAGGGGGAUAACUACUGGAAACGGUAGCUAAUACCGCAUAACGUCGCAAGACCAAAGAGGGGGACCUUCGGGCCUCUUGCCAUCGGAUGUGCCCAGAUGGGAUUAGCUUGUUGGUGGGGUAACGGCUCACCAAGGCGACGAUCCCUAGCUGGUCUGAGAGGAUGACCAGCCACACUGGAACUGAGACACGGUCCAAACUCCUACGGGAGGCAGCAGUGGGGAAUAUUGCACAAUGGGCGCAAGCCUGAUGCAGCCAUGCCGCGUGUAUGAAGAAGGCCUUCGGGUUGUAAAGUACUUUCAGCGGGGAGGAAGGGAGUAAAGUUAAUACCUUUGCUCAUUGACGUUACCCGCAAAAAAAGCACCGGCUAACUCCGUGCCAGCAGCCGCGGUAAUACGGAGGGUGCAAGCGUUAAUCGGAAUUACUGGGCGUAAAGCGCACGCAGGCGGUUUGUUAAGUCAGAUGUGAAAUCCCCGGGCUCAACCUGGGAACUGCAUCUGAUACUGGCAAGCUUGAGUCUCGUAGAGGGGGGUAGAAUUCCAGGUGUAGCGGUGAAAUGCGUAGAGAUCUGGAGGAAUACCGGUGGCGAAGGCGGCCCCCUGGACGAAGACUGACGCUCAGGUGCG
rnacentral:rRNA from 1 species